CCUACGGGAGGCAGCAGUGGGGAAUAUUGGGCAAUGGAGGAAACUCUGACCCAGCGACGCCGCGUGCGGGAUGAAGGCCUUCGGGUUGUAAACCGCUUUCAGUAGGGAAGAAGCGAAAGUGACGGUACCUACAGAAGAAGCACCGGCUAACUAUGUGCCAGCAGCCGCGGUAAUACAUAGGGUGCAAGCGUUGUCCGGAAUUAUUGGGCGUAAAGAGCUCGUAGGUGGUUCGUCACGUCGGAUGUGAAAAUCUGGGGCUCAACCCCAGACCUGCAUUCGAUACGGGCGAUCUAGAGUGUGGUAGGGGAGACUGGAAUUCCUGGUGUAGCGGUGGAAUGCGCAGAUAUCAGGAGGAACACCAAUGGCGAAGGCAGGUCUCUGGGCCAUUACUGACACUGAGGAGCGAAAGCGUGGGGAGCGAACAGGAUUAGAUACCCUGGUAGUCCACGCCGUAAACGGUGGGCACUAGUUGUGGGAACCUUCCACGGUUUCUGCGACGCAGCUAACGCAUUAAGUGCCCCGCCUGGGGAGUACGAUCGCAAGNUUAAAACUCAAAGGAAUUGACGG
rnacentral:rRNA from 1 species